rnacentral:rRNA from 1 species
GCUCAGAGUGAACGCUGGCGGUAGGCCUAACACAUGCAAGUCGAACGGCAGCACAGUAAGAGCUUGCUCUUACGGGUGGCGAGUGGCGGACGGGUGAGGAAUACAUCGGAAUCUACUUUUUCGUGGGGGAUAACGUAGGGAAACUUACGCUAAUACCGCAUACGACCUACGGGUGAAAGCAGGGGACCUUCGGGCCUUGCGCGAUUGAAUGAGCCGAUGUCGGAUUAGCUAGUUGGCGGGGUAAAGGCCCACCAAGGCGACGAUCCGUAGCUGGUCUGAGAGGAUGAUCAGCCACACUGGAACUGAGACACGGUCCAGACUCCUACGGGAGGCAGCAGUGGGGAAUAUUGGACAAUGGGCGCAAGCCUGAUCCAGCCAUACCGCGUGGGUGAAGAAGGCCUUCGGGUUGUAAAGCCCUUUUGUUGGGAAAGAAAUCCAGCCGGCUAAUACCUGGUUGGGAUGACGGUACCCAAAGAAUAAGCACCGGCUAACUUCGUGCCAGCAGCCGCGGUAAUACGAAGGGUGCAAGCGUUACUCGGAAUUACUGGGCGUAAAGCGUGCGUAGGUGGUUGUUUAAGUCUGUUGUGAAAGCCCUGGGCUCAACCUGGGAACUGCAGUGGAAACUGGACGACUAGAGUGUGGUAGAGGGUAGCGGAAUUCCUGGUGUAGCAGUGAAAUGCGUAGAGAUCAGGAGGAACAUCCAUGGCGAAGGCAGCUACC